GACGGACGCUGGCGGCGUGCUUAACACAUGCAAGUCGAACGGAAAGGCCCUGCUUUUGUGGGGUGCUCGAGUGGCGAACGGGUGAGUAACACGUGAGUAACCUGCCCUUGACUUUGGGAUAACUUCAGGAAACUGGGGCUAAUACCGGAUAGGAGCUCCUGCUGCAUGGUGGGGGUUGGAAAGUUUCGGCGGUUGGGGACGGACUCGCGGCUUAUCAGCUUGUUGGUGGGGUAGUGGCUUACCAAGGCUUUGACGGGUAGCCGGCCUGAGAGGGUGACCGGCCACAUUGGGACUGAGAUACGGCCCAGACUCCUACGGGAGGCAGCAGUGGGGAAUAUUGCACAAUGGGCGGAAGCCUGAUGCAGCAACGCCGCGUGCGGGAUGACGGCCUUCGGGUUGUAAACCGCUUUCGCCUGUGACGAAGCGUGAGUGACGGUAAUGGGUAAAGAAGCACCGGCUAACUACGUG
rnacentral:rRNA from 1 species